rnacentral:lncRNA from 1 species
CAAAGGCAGAUCUCCUUCUAACCAUGUUAGCCAAUGCUCCUUUAUUUCAGGCAGCCCAAGAAUCUCAUUCUAAAUAUCAUCAGGCUGCUCGAGCUUUACAUUUGCAAAUUUAGGAUAACAAAAGAGGAAGCUAGGAGCAAAGUAAAAGCCUGUACAGCUUGCCUAACUUUCCCUUGAUCCUGUGCUGCCUCUAGGGAAGAAUCCUUGUGGUAUGAGACCCAAUGAAUUUGGCAAAUAUAUUUCAUCCAUAUUGAGAGAUAGAUCAUCCAUGUAAUCAUGGAUACACAUUCUCAAUUCCUCAUGGCUUCACUCCAAUCUGAGGAAGUGGUUAGGCAUGUAAUCAGCCAUCUUUGUCAUUGUUUUUCCAUUGCAGGAGUCCCACACGCACUUAAGACAAGUAAUGGACCAGCUUAUACAUCUUCUGCCUUUCAGUCCCUCUGCACUGAAUUUGACAUUGCCCAUUCCACUGCUAUCCCAUAUAAUCCUAUCAGCCAUGCCGUUAUUGGACAGGCUGUUUGUACCCCCCAAAAUGCUCCUGUCUAAACAAGAAAAGGGAGUAUAGGGGUUUGUAUGACCUCUACCUGAUUCACACAGGCUCACUUAUUAGAUGCAUCAUUAUAUACAUACAAUUGCCUGCAAUUUUCACAUUCUUUGGACCUUACCCCAGCAAUGCACUUUUGGCACACGCAGAAGGUGCAACUAACUAAUAGACUGGCCAACAAGGACAAGAGCCCUUUUUCCACAGUGAUGUGGAAGGGCAUCUGGAAGGGUCCGGGUUGGGUCAGGAUUUGGGGACCCAGGUAUGCUCUUGUCUUUCCAGAUGCAGACCCAACAGCAGAGGAGUAGAUCUCAACCAGAAACAUCCAUGACCUGGGGAACCAAGAAGAGAACGACCAGAUGACAACAUUGUCCCUGACAAUGGCCCAGAAGGAUCAGCCAGAUGUCAGUAGCCCUUCAGAUGCUGAUGACAGCCAUGUCCCUCCUGAACAUGACACCAAAGAUGGCGAACACAACACCAGUGUUACAGUUGAAUUGGACUGCUCUGGUGGAUGCGCAACACUUAGAGGCUCACAAAAUUGGACAAUGGGCUUCUGUGCUUCUCCCGUGGCCUCCUGCUAUUCAUAUGAUGGUCUGGGGAGAGGCUUUGCCCAAUUUUCCACUUUAAGUGGAUCUUCCUCCCAGAAGUCCCAAGCCAGUUCUUUAUAUGACGUUUUGGAAGGUGGGAUUUUAAUUUGGAAGAUGUCAAAAGCUGGCUUCUGUAAGGCUGGAGAAGAUCAAGGAAUUUCAGGGACCUCUGUAAAUGCCCAAAUAAAUGCCAGUCUCUCCAUAUAGACUUGUGCUUUUCUUUUAAUGACUAUUGAAAUUAGGAGGAGAGGAAAGAGGAUCCCAAGUUCAUUUUGUAUGGCUGGAGAGGGCCAGGGAAUUUCAGGGACCUCUUGGUUCUGGGCAAAUGCCAUUCUCUCAUUAUCUGAGUACCUAGGGAGGCCAAUGUCAUAUAAUGCUUGUCAUAUAAUGAUUGUUGCAGUUAGGAAGAAAAGACACUCCCUAGUUUACUUCUUUCCCUGUUUUUCUCAUUAGGGAAAUUUUGGGAGACUCUUGGUUCUGUGGAAGCUCAUCAAAAUCUGAAACAUUUUUAUUGGAGCAUACCUCUACAGUUUAAGGAAUUUCUGUAACAUAAUAUGCUUGUUAUAAAAUGAGAUUGUACCUUUUCCCCUGAGUUGAUCCUCACUGGAAUUUGUAUCUUUCAUUCUCAGGAGCAUGAAAUGGAGUAUGAAUGCUUUUCACUGAAUUCAGAAAUUAAGGGUAAAAGAUCCCUAAUUAAAUCAAAUUAUUGCAGUUCCUCCUCUUUACUUUAUGAUCUCUCUCUUCUCUCUCUCGCUCAUCUUCUAGUAGAGUGUGCUCCAUUUCCAUGUCUGUAUCUUCCAUCAUGUUCCCAUUGGCCUCCCUAGGUACUCAGGUUGUGAUCAAGGUUUGAGAAUGAUGAUAAGACUUGAGUAGCAGUGUGAAAGGACCUUCACAAAAAAGGUUAGAAAUAUUUUCUUCUAUUUGGUCACUGAGCAAGCCUUCCAAGAUUUCAUCUUAUUCUCCAAAUCUCUUAGAAGAGCAAAAAAAGGUACAAGUGAGUCUCCCAAGCUCCUAGGCAGCAAUCCAAGUUCAGCUGGCUAGAGCUCUCCAUUGCUCGGGGUUUUUCUUUCUGGGACAUGGAAAAAACAGCAGAGGGAGAAAAGGAGAUUGUAGAAACUAGGAAAAGGAAGGGUCCCCAGGCCUAGGGGAUAUGCUCUAGAUAAAUGAGAGGGGAGGCUUUGCAUAUCAUAUAUAGUGAAUCUGAUUUUUUCCCACUUGAACAAAGAGUGUUGUCACAAGGUUAUGUGAAAAUACCUUUGGCCUCAACCUUCUGAUCCGGGUAGAAUUGCUCUCCCUACCCCAAGACUAUGUGACCCUUUAAAGGAGGAGGGGGCAGGAAGCAUAGGAUAAAGUCUACUUCUGGCCAACAAUCAUAGUUGCAAGGUGGUAUAGGGUAGAGUCACCUUUUAUAAAGCUGGUCAUACUAUAUAUGCUUUGGGCAAUUACAAGACUAUUCACUGACUUCAGAAAUUAAUAUCAGUCAUAAGGAUCUCAUGGCCAAUGAAGCUCUACUCCAGGGCAUUGAUAUGACAGGGUCUGCCUUCUACCUUGACUGUUUCCUGGCUCCACACCAACCUUCCCCAUGUGGUACCUUAUGUCAAAUAUUGUCCAAUUAGGUCCUUCUUACUGCUCCCUUUCAGUUUAAAUGGUUCAACACCCAACAAUUUACCCCAGGUAUGGUGCAGCUUGAGUAUGAGUGUGUCCAGCUAGCAAGUUAUUUCUACCCUCUAUGCUCAUUCCAUCUGAAGGUAAAGAGAUAGGGGUGGUAGGAGCAGCCUUUCUCCUGCUCUGCCUAAAAGUUUUAAGUUGGAAAUAACUUACAGGAAAAAUGGAGCUGAAAGGGAAGCAGAAUGAACCUCCAUUAGGUUUAUAGUUUGAAGGCUUUAUUUAGGUAAGCUCUCUAUUCUUUGCUUCUCCUCCUUCUCUUUGCUAUAAAGAGAGCAUAUCUCUUAUAUGUAAAGAGAACAACAAGAUAACAUAUCUCGUAAUUCUAAAAUACCAAUUUUUUAUGUGUCCAAACCCUGAACCUCAACUUCUCAAAUAAACAAAAUGAAUACUUUGCUCCUGUUUUCUUGGGGGAAGGGAUAACUAAGGAGGAGCGGGUGAGUCCUUCUUCAUCAUGGCCCAGAAGCCUUGCUCCUCUUCCUCCCAGGGAUCAGAUUAAUCUGAGUUGAGGAGGGAGAACAGUAUAGAGAAAAAAAAUGUUAAGGAGAUGGCAGAAGAUAAUGCUAUUGAAAGGCAAAAAAUUAUGGUUAUUUUUCUUGCCCAUUCAAUAGACUGUCUCUAAUUAAAUUCAACUAUUCAAAGUUAGGGGUAUGAAGUAUUUCUAGGAUAAGAUUAAUAAACACAGCAGAAUUCAGUAUCAUGGUGAUAAAAAUUCCUGUGGUCUGGGUUUUUUCCUUUUUAGGGAAUAUCAUUGGCAGACAUGAAAUGUAGCUAUUCCCACUAAAUCUAAAGAUAAGCAAGAAGGAUGCUUUUGAUUGUUCUUGGCAUGAAACAGUUUUGUGCUGACAGCUGCAUUGUGUAACCAAUAGGGACUCUGACCCCUUUGCUCCCCCUUUUUUUUUGCAUUUCCUCCUCCUCCUUUUAGGGUGGGUUCUGUAAGUAGAGACCUUUAAGGCAUCAAUGCAAACUGAAGAUAAAAGGUUUUUGUGAAGGACAGGCAAUUAUCUCUGCAUCAGUGAAAGGCAGGAUCUCUUUAGGGGAGAUCAGGCCCUCUUUGGGAGUUUUCUUUACUAUGCUCAGUUCAGUUUCUCUUGGAGCUCUAGCCUUCAGAAUCCUUGAUAAGCUU